rnacentral:lncRNA from 1 species
AGUGACAUGGGUGUCUUGUCUCCUUAGUUUGACCCCAGAGGAACUUCAUCAAGACUCCACCAGGAGACUUGUGUUAAGAGCUCGGUGAGGAAGGGACUUCUGCCUGAUACCUGAGGACCUGCUCUCUGCCAGGAAGAAGGCCAAAGCGGAGCUGAAAAAGGAAACGGAUCCUUUCAAGAAACAGGUCUUGAUGGUCGACAGCUCGCUCAAACAAAAUCAGCGCCAACUCAGUCUAUGGCUUUACAGGGGCUCAGGUGGCCAAGCUGCCCUGCCUUGAGAUCCACAGGUGAGCACCCUGAACCAGUUUCCUCAAGCAUAGUGCCUCAAAGUGGAAACUGGGACCAGGACCCAGGCCAGUGGAGCUGUAGGACUCCAGACAAUGUCCUGUUUGGUAUUACAUACCCACCAACACAGAAGUCUCAGACUUCUGUGUUUUCCAGAGUGUCACCAGUGUUCCUAACCUCUCCCAGUGUCCCUAACCUCUCCCAGUGUCCCUAACCUCUCCCUGUGUUUCCAGAGUGUCACCAGUGUUCCUAACCUCUCCCUGUGUCCCCUAACCUCUCCCUGUGUCCCUAACCUCUCCCAGUGUCCCUACCUCGCCCUGUGUUUCCAGAGUGUACCAGUGUCCCUAACCUCUCCCAAGUGUUCCUAACCUUC